rnacentral:rRNA from 1 species
AGAGUUUGAUCCUGGCUCAGGAUGAACGUUGGCGGCGUGGAUUAGGCAUGCAAGUCGAACGAGCCUCUGGGGGGUAACUCCUAGAGGAAAGUGGCGAAAGGGGCAGUAAUGUAUGGGUAACCUACCUUGAGGUCUGGGAUAGCUAUUCUAACGGAUAGGUAAUACCGGACGGCCUGAGUCGUCGGCAUCGAUGAUUUAGUAAAGGUUACGCCUCGAGAGGGGCCCAUAUGAUAUUAGCUAGUUGGUGAGGUAAUGGCUCACCAAGGCAAAGAUGUCUAGCGGGUGUGAGAGCACGACCCGCGUCACUGGCACUGAGACACUGGCCAGACUCCUACGGGAGGCUGCAGUCGAGGAUCUUCGGCAAUGGACGCAAGUCUGACCGAGCAACGCCGCGUGUGCGAUGAAGGCCUUCGGGUUGUAAAGCACUGUCGAGGGGAAACAAGCCGUAAGGUUGAGUGACCCCUGGAGGAAGCACGGGCUAAGUUCGUGCCAGCAGCCGCGGUAAGACGAACCGUGCAAACGUUAUUCGGAAUCACUGGGCUUAAAGGGCGCGUAGGCGGGUAAUCAAGUCAAUGGUGAAAGCCUCCAGCUUAGCUGGAGAAGUGCCUUUGAUACUGAUUGUCUAGAGUGAGGUAGGGGCAUGUGGAACUUCCGGUGGAGCGGUGAAAUGCGUAGAUAUCGGAAGGAACGCCAGUGGCGAAAGCGAUGUGCUGGACCUUUUCUGACGCUGAGGCGCGAAAGCUAGGGGAUCAAACGGGAUUAGAUACCCUGGUAGUCC